CAGCAGUAGCCGCGGUAAUACAGAGGGUGCAAGCGUUAAUCGGAAUUACUGGGCGUAAAGCGCGCGUAGGUGGUUCGCCAAGUUGGAUGUGAAACCCCCGGGCUCAACCUGGGAACUGCAUCCAAAACUGGCGAGCUAGAGUAUGGUAGAGGGUGGUGGAAUUUCCUGUGUAGCGGUGAAAUGCGUAGAUAUAGGAAGGAACAUCAGUGGCGAAGGCGACCACCUGGACUGAUACUGACACUGAGGUGCGAAAGCGUGGGGAGCAAACAGGAUUAGAUACCCCCGUAGUCCCUGUCUCUUAUAC
rnacentral:rRNA from 1 species